CCGCCGCGUCGCCGCCAUUUUUUAAAGGGUCCGCAGCCUGACUCUGCUGAGUAAGGAGGGGUGGGGCGGGUGAGUCGGCCUCGCCAGUGCGCAUGCGCGAGGCCCCAGCCGCCGCUUUGGUCACAGUGACCGCCACCGUUGCCCGGGGAUGGGUCCCUGAGACUUGGCGAAGUAGGAGCCCUGUGUGAUUGUGCGUCAGAGUCGGGGCUCAGACCAGUCCUGGCCAGGGCAGUUACCAGGACGGUCUCCGGAGGCUGGGAUUCGCGGAGGGUCCGCCAGGAGGAAGAAACCUCAGACAGAUCGCCGGGGACGCAGCACGGGAUCCCAGCCUCAGGCGUGCACGGACGGUGUGCGGGUCGGCCUUUCUUCUGGUCAGCCUCUCCCCGCGUCUCUGCCUCGGUCGUGUAGCCGGUUAGCAGUCGGUUUCCCGGCGGUUCCGGUUUGGGGGUCUGGGAGGGCCUGGGCAAUGCCGGCAUCUGCUUCGGAACCGCAGGGGUUUUCGUCCCCUCCCCAUCCGGAGCAGCCUCUUUGCUAGGCUAGAUCCAGACGACCGCUCCCCAAGCAAGGACAACGGCCUCCCAGGCGCUCAUUGUCCACCCGCAGGAGGGUGCCCGCAGACCUUCAAGAAGAUGGUUCUCACGCCUCUCGCCCUCUCCCUCAUGGAGAAAUGGAGCCACAGCUCGACGCAGGGACGGAGAAGGAAGCCGGCAAGGGGAUGGGGCAAGCAUCUCUGUCACUCAAAGGCUGGCCUUCCUGGCCGAGUCACCCGUCUGACACUCCUCCCCGGAUGCCCGUUGUGGUGGCAUGGCCCCGUAUCCUGCCUGGGCUCUGGCCUCUGCUCUGUCCUCCCUCUUGCUGUGUCUGCCCCGUCUCUGAGAAGCCUGGCGGCUUCUUAGUCUGGCUCAACGUCUUCAACAAAGAAGACUUCCCAGUCCAUCAGGGAGAAACCC